rnacentral:rRNA from 1 species
GACGAAGGGGGCUAGCGUUGUUCGGAAUUACUGGGCGUAAAGCGAGUGUAGGUGGUUGUCGUAGUCAGGCGUGAAAGCCUUGAGCUCAACUCAAGAAAUGCGCUUGAUACUGGGCAGCUAGAGGACCGGAGAGGAUAGUGGAAUUCCCAGUGUAGUGGUGAAAUACGUAGAGAUUGGGAAGAACACCAGUGGCGAAGGCGGCUAUCUGGACGGUUUCUGACACUAAGACUCGAAAGCGUGGGGAUCAAACAGGAUUAGAAA